rnacentral:tRNA from 1 species
UCCUACACUGGUGGACAUGGCAGCAUAUGCCCCUUCGAACGGUGCACCGGCUAUGUUUGUGGCCACACCGAUUGUGGAUCGUGGUCAGACUAUUGGGG